AGCCAUGUAUUAAAAGUGGAUUAUAAUAUCUAUAUAACAAAAGAGUUAAAAAAAAAAAAUGUCAAAAACAACCGUUGUGUUUUAUCAUAUAAUUAAUGAUAAAGAAGACAAAAAUUCACAAAAUGUAUUUUAUAUUUGUAAGCCAAUAAAUUUGAUAACAUUAAAUGACAUUAAAAAUGAAUUUCCUUUAGUAGGAACGUAUCAUUUCAGAUUUAAAAUUAUUCAUAACAAUACUCCAGUAUGGGUAGAUAUAAAUGACGGGUCUUCUCCUAUACCUAGUUUGAAUUCUUGUAUUUACGCAAAAGUUUUAAGAUUGAGUUGGUUGGACGAUAAAAAAACAUUAAAAAAAUUACCCGAAAAAAAACAAUCGAACAAGAUGUAUCAAAGUUGUAUAGUAAUGAAAAAAUUAAUUUACUAG
rnacentral:lncRNA from 1 species